GUGUUUACAUGUUUACAUCAGUGUGUACAUGUUUACAUCAGUGUUUACAUGUUUACAUCAGUGUUUACAUCCUGGAUGAUGUCAGAUGAUUUAUAAACAGACUUUGUUAAUUUUGGACGAAGAGGAACAACAGGAAAACAAAACAAAUGAAACAUAAUCAAUAAAGUAAAUAAACACAAAGAUGAUGAUCACAGUCACACUGAUACAGACUCUGCUGACUCCUCCCUCCUGCUGUCACUCACACUACGUCAUCACCUCCUACUUCCUGCCGUUAACUCCUCUGACGUCACUCUCCCCACUCAUCAC